rnacentral:rRNA from 1 species
AGGACGAACGCUGGCGGCGUGCUUAACACAUGCAAGUCGAGCGGUAAGGCCCUUUCGGGGGUACACGAGCGGCGAACGGGUGAGUAACACGUGGGUGACCUGCCCUUAGCUCUGGGAUAAGCCUGGGAAACUGGGUCUAAUACCGGAUAUGACCUCGCGAUGCAUGUCGUGGGGUGGAAAGCCUUGUGCGGCUAGGGAUGGGCCCGCGGCCUAUCAGCUUGUUGGUGGGGUGAUGGCCUACCAAGGCGACGACGGGUAGCCGGCCUGAGAGGGCGACCGGCCACACUGGGACUGAGACACGGCCCAGACUCCUACGGGAGGCAGCAGUGGGGAAUCUUGCGCAAUGGGCGAAAGCCUGACGCAGCGACGCCGCGUGAGGGAUGACGGCCUCGGGUUGUAAACCUCUUUCAGCCCUGACGAAGCGAAAGUGACGGUAGGGCGAGAAGAAGCACCGGCCAACUACGCGCCAGCAGCCGCGGUAA